rnacentral:rRNA from 1 species
AUUGAACGCUGGCGGCAGGCCUAACACAUGCAAGUCGAACGAGUGGCGGACGGGUGAGUAAUGUCUGGGAAACUGCCUGAUGGAAGGGGAUAACUACGGGAAACGGUAGCUAAUACAGCAUACCAUCAGAUGUGCCCAGAUGGAAUUAGCUAGGUGGUGAGGUAACGGCCCACCAAGGCGACUAUCCCUAGCUGGUCUGAGAGGAUGACCGGCGACACUGGAACUGAUACACGGUCCAGACUCGUACGGGAGGCAGCAGUUGGGAAUAUUGCACAAUGGGCGCAAGCCUGAUGCAGCCAUGCCGCGUGUAUGAAGAAGGCCUUCGGGUUGUAAAGUACUUUCAGCGGGGAGGCGUUACCCGCAGAAGAAGCACCGGCUAACUCCGUGCCAGCAGCCGCGGUAAUUC